CUAAGAAAUUGCUUUCAAACAGCUUGGACCGACCACACAUUUUACAUUUACUUCAUAUAUUGAAUUACUCCUCUAAGACUAUUCUUCUUAUAGUUUCAUGGUGAGUGACGGCAUCCUCAACAACACAUGGCAGACACGUUGGGCAGUAGACGGCACUUGGUGUUUUGGGUUUACGAGUUCCAACACGCCAGAGACAACAUGCAAUGAAUCUGGUGCAAGAUUCAGCGUCUUAGCUUGAUUCAUGCCAAAAUAUUCACUUGGGACAAUUACUAGUCUAAGAUCAACCAAUUAUUUGAAACAAGGCUGCAGAGCUUAUAGAGAGCACCAGCAACCCUUCGGUUUUACCACAUGCUUAUGCUACUUUGUUUUCUUACUCAAAUAUUCUAACUAAUGCGCAUUUUCAUAGCCUAUCUCCAAAUCCUAUUCGUCUAUGAUCAUAAACUUAAAUUAUCACCACUACAAAUGUCAAAAUUGUUGACCCCAAUGGACACUUUUCAGGAGGUUUUCUAUUAGAUUUAGAUUUAGAAUGUUUGGAUACCCCAAUGGACAAUUAAGGUAUGUUAUCCAUAUUGCAAUACAUAAAUAGCAACAAACAUUUUUCCUCAUUAAUUAGUGUAAAUACUAUUAAGGCCCCGUUUUUUAUUGCGUUUUAAAUGGACUUUUGCGUUAAAAAGUCCUUUUCUCUUAAAAGGAGAGAAGAACGGCCUCCAUCUUCUCAAAAAAUUCUCCAUCUCAAACGUCAUUUUCUCCUGAUGGAGAAGCUGAAAAUUUCACCAUCUAAAAAGCUUGAAGUGCUUUUGGCUGAUAAAUGACCAAAAUAACCUGUCUUCUCCCCCUUGGAAAAACGUUAUUUCCUCUGCUGUGAAAGUUCUAUACCCAUAUUUUUCACAUUUUCGCUGUGAAAGCUCCUUCCUGUUCUUUGUUCCUCUUCCGCAGGUGAGUUCGUUUUCUUCUUCUUCUCUUUAAUUAUUAGUUAUGCUUUGUUUUUAUUUACUUUUUAAUUCUGGCUUUUGUGCCUCUUUUACUUUACUGUUUUGUGCCUCUACUGCUGCGUUGCUCUGCCUCUUUUGUUUUGUGCCUCUUUCUGAAAAGAAAAAUGCCAGGGCUGGGUUACUGAAGAACUCUCAACCUCUGAAAAAAAAACAGAGAAGAUUUUAUACUUAGAAAAACGAAACGCGAUGCAGUGGAAUUUCUCUUCGGAUUCGGUUAAAUUUCAGUUUCCCUGUUGAUACUUAAUUUCUUUUCUGUAUAUUUCCUUUUUGUUUCGUGACAAUGUCCGGCAAAACGGCAUCGUCUUCCGGAAUCAUCUUGGAAGGAAUUGAUGAUGUGGAGGACUACGUUUCGGCGAAGCCCGAUAUCAAUUGCAGCUGCUGUUAUUUAUAUCAUAACACAGCUGUCUGAUGACAAGAAGCCUCUUAGAGGUUUGAUAUUUCGAUAUCUAAUUGGAAACCGAAGAGUGUGUUAAGAACUCCAACACUUUGAUUAAAGAUGGUGCUAAAAGAGGGCUCUUCGAGUUACCCCCGGAUCAUCAUAAGGAAUUAGAAACCGAGUUAAAGAAGAUGGCGCCUGUUUCUGCUGUUAUUUAAGUAACAUUUUCAUUAUGUUACCAUAAAAGAAAGGGGUAGUAUAUGUUGCCUCUCUAAUAGGUCUAUUUAUAUCCACUAAUUGGUAUCUAUUUUAUUUUUUUGAUUUAGAACUUUGCAUUUCCUUUGGAUGCUCAACACAUAUAUUCUUUUUUGCGUUCUUCA